UGCCUCCAUGGAUGGGACACCUACAGCUUCUCUGAGCAAAUGAUCAUUGGGUCUCAUACUUGGCUCCAUACAGGACCAUCAAAAUUCAAAUCCUAUGUCUAAGAGCAUUGUCUAAAUGCUUCUCGAACUCUGGUGGGCUUGGUGAUUCUGCAAUAGGCUUUCCCAAAUCCACACACAUGUGAAGGUCACACAGCUAUGCAGAGGAAGGCUUCAGGUCAAAGUGGAGGAGUCCCAUUGGCAGCAGCUCCUACUGGAUGGAAUUAGUGAGCUGUUUUUUCCUUACAUAUUGGUUAGGGAAGAAAAUAAAAAUACUUUUAGACCUGGAAGAAGAAUGCUAUUCACAGCAAUGACAUAGUAAAGUUUUCCCUAAAAAGGCUGUCUCUAUCAAGGUACCUCUUUCCUAUGCUUCUCUCCUGAAAACUAGGACCAGCACUGCAUCUGUCUCCAGGGGAAGAGGCAUCCUUACUUGAAUUUCUCAGUUCCAAGGUUCCCAACCACAUGUGGCUCUGUCAUCCCAGGUAAGCAAUGUCAGUGAUCACUGGGCAGCAUGCAACAGCCAAAGCUGGAGUCCCUGCCCAAGGAGCAGAUUGGUGGAAAGGGACAUUAUUUCACACCAGUACCAUGGGGAUGUGCACACCUCAUUUUUUUUCCCAGAAGAACAGCAUUAUAGUUUCAAAGUCCUGAUGGGCCUAGAUGUCUUUGUGUACCAAGCUAGGGAUGGCACCAGGUGAGUGGGUUACCACCUACAGACUCUGGGAAUUGUCACCCCAAGGAGGCUGGUUCUCAAUGUUCAUGUUUGGCAUUCUGCACACUGUAGCCCCAUCCUGUGUUGCUGCAUAUGUUGUGUGUUUAAUGUUAACAGAUCACCCUAUAAGCAAUCUAACUUUGCCAACGAAUCGUGAUCCAGGUCUUAAAAGAUCUGGGAGGCAUUGCAGUCCAUUUUCACAUAGUGUGAUUUAUUUAGCAGUUUUGUAUUUUUGCUUCCUAAUCGUUACAUCCAGAAGUCAAGCCCAUGGGGCUGCUUUACAUUACAUAUGCCAUGCCAUUGAAAGUCCAUCACCAGGGCACUCAUUACUCAUGGAUCACCAAUGAAGUUUUGGGAGAGGAAAAAAAUGGGACUCUUCCCUUUUUAUGUUUUUGUAAGAUACUUAAUAAUACCCCAUAUUGAUCAGUACUUAGGAAUGUCAACUUUAUUUGCUGUUAUUUUGCUAAAGGAGGCACUGUGUUUUGCUUGUUAUGUAAGUGAUCAGCUCCUCUAACAAGGCAAGGGGUCAAUCAGCCCUUUAUCUGCGACCUCUUUCCUUUAAAAUGUUAAUGAAGUGCAAAUUAGCACAAAAAUAAUUAUAAACCAGUUAUGUUCUACUAGCACUGCAGUUAAAACUUUUUUUUUUCAGUUGCACUUCAUGGGACUUUGCAAAUCUGUGCAUGAACAUAUUUAUUUUCAUGUUUAAGCUCUCUAGCCCUGAUUUAAUCAAACUAUGACCUUCUAUGGUUAAAUUAAAACUGUGGAUGUAUUCUGGGAGAAACGUGUCCAUGCACAGAAGAAAAAAAAAAAAAGGAAGGCAAGGAGGAAGGGAGAAAGAAACAAAAAGAAGAGAGGGAGAAAGGAAAAUAAGAAGGAACAGGCAGAAGAGGCAGCAGGCUUGUCUCUUUGUGAGAUGACUUUUCCAAGUAUCAUGAAGAGGCCUGGGGUUAAGAGGUACAAGUCUGGACACGGAACAGAGAAGGAUGGGCAGGUCGGAACCAGGAGCAGAAAUGAUUGUGAUGUGAUUUAUGUGAAACAACCUGCCUUUCAUUGUCCCUGCAUUCUGUCCUUGUGCCUGCGACAGGGAAGCUCGUACCUCUGCACAGACACACUACUUGAAGAAUUCCCCUCCACACCCAAAAAUACCAGCUCUCCCAAUGAAGGGCAUUUCUUGCAUGCUCCAUAUUGCACAUGCUAAAUACUUAUUGUACUAGAUACAACCUCUAAACAUUUACAGCUGAUCUCUGUGAACCCUAAUCCAUCUCAGGGACCUAAAGGAUCAAGAGGUACCAUGGGACAAGGUCACAGCUCAACAUAGCGUGGAAGCCAUGCCCUGGAGAAAUGGCCUUGUUGCUCAACUUUGGCAUCAACCUAGUUCACCAUAAGUAAAAGACAUUGUAGGAGUGUUUGUAUCAAAGUCUCUCCAGUUGAUGGUGUCCUCUUUAAUUCCACUGGGGAAGAACAUGUUUAUUUCAAGAACAGCAUAGUUCUAGUAUAUAGGGAAUUACUGCAGUGAGGAUGUACAGGGCUGGUGGUGAUAGCACUGCAGAGAGAAACUCCAGCUGGUUUAUAGUAGUUAAGCCUGAGAUCUACUAGCAUACUUCUGAGAAAGUGGGAAGGUCAGAAGAAGCUGUAUAACCUGCUUCCUAAGGUAGGGCUGCUUUGAGCUUUCGAUAGCAGACUGCUCCUGUGACCUGGGCUGGAUAUGGCCUGGCCUCUGUGUGUACAGCCCAAAAGAUAAACUCCUUGGAGCUACCUGAGAUAUACAUGAUAUAUACGGAGAAACUUAUACUGACACUGACAAGUUAAUUGGGAGAAGAAGCAAAACUAAGAUAUCAGUCAUAAAAAUACCUUCUUCUGUCUCUGACACACAAAUCACCCAGACUUAAUUUGCAUCAUGAACAUUUAUUGCAUGUCUGCUGAACCAGGGCAAGCUUUUGCUGGCAGCUUUUUAAAGUAAUGCCACGGCAGCAUUCACACGAAGGGAGGACAGAGUUAAAGAACUGACCCUGGGGCAACUAUUUAAAUAAACCAGCUACUGGUGCAUUAUGGACAGGUGAGCUUGGUUUUAGGAAGCCCUGAAGAAGCUCUUUAAUCGUCUACCUUUCCUCUUCAGUUAUGUCAGUUAUGUGUUCAGCUUUCAGCAGCCAUCCUGAAGCUACCAACAUAUCCCAGAGAAUGUGGAACAAUAAAAGGGUUGACAAGAAAUUCGCUGUGGCAGCCUCAGAAUCUUCUCAACUUGUCACGUAAAUGCUGUGACUAACAACUCUAUAAACCAGUCUGUCACCCAGACUGUGAUAGCAACAAGGAAUUAAAAUCUUAGUUAAAAAUUCCUCAAUCAAGAGCAAUUUUUUCUAUUACUUUCCAGACUUUUGCUGCUACUCAAUAAAUGAAAUAGGAAAAAGACAUUUACACUGACCUGCAAGUGACUUCAUCAGCCAUUUUGCUGUUAAUACACAACUCCUACUGCUACAACUGCUGAAAUAAACACUUUUACAUUUGAACUUCAAGAGGAUUUACUUGGACCAGAGGCAGCCAGCAACAGAAGAAUUUUAAUGACUUGGGAGGACUGUUGGUAUUUUAAGAAGUCUCCUAAAGCCCUUUCCAGGAUUGGAGAUAAGAAAAAUAAGUACAGCAUUUUUUUUUCCCACUAAGUACUUUGUGCCAUGUUCUCACAUAACAGAAAGUGAACAGUACAUCUGCAUAAUGAAGAUGGCAAAACCUGAAUGGAAAAGAAGAAGUUAAAAAAAAAAAUCUGAG